GGGAACCGUAAUUGGGUAUCUGAGCUCACAGUGACGUGGCCCUUACGAGACCUAGAGCUGACGCGUGGAUCCGUGUCUCCUCCUAGUUGCAGUCUGGUAGUCGUUUGUGGCUGUGCGCUGUCUCGCUAUUGCUUUGAAGGCAGGCGAACCUGUAGCCCAGGGAAGAAGGAGGAAGUCGUAGAAGCUGACCCCGAUCCGCGGCAGGUCUUUAGGUCGUUUGGUGCAGCAGAUUUCAAAGCUAAGAGAGGAAGACUGCUUCCGAUCCCUGCAGGAAGCAUAAGCAGGAAAAAAAUCUCAAAAUGGAAAAUAUCCCCCAGGAAACCAAAGGAGACGAGCAGGCUCUGGUGCAGAAUGAAAACGAAGCCCACCCUUUGGGAGGUGGUGAAGACCAGGAGCCUGGAGGAAAUAUUAGAGCGGGCUGGGCCCCACCUGCCCAUGAUGUUAGAGAGGAUAUGCCCAAUAGGCUUGUUAAUAACCUUGACAUGAUAGAUGGAGAUGCAGAUGAUAUGGAACGGUUCAUGGAGGAGAUGAGAGAGCUAAGGAGGAAAAUUAGGGAGCUUCAGUUGAGGUACAGUUUGCGUAUUCUUAUAGGUGAUCCCCCUCACCAUGACCAUCAUGAUGAGUUUUGCCUUAUGCCUUGAAUGCUGAGGUUAAUAAUAAUAAACCCCCUGCUUCCCAAAGUUGCAUUUUCUUGAUGUACCUUUUGCUGUGAACAUGUGGUAUUCUGUCAUUUUUCUGAUUGAAAAUUUCAUUUUGACUUUGGAAGUUUUUCUGUCAGCAGGGGAGUUUCAUCAACUUGCAUGGAAAGAUGUUUAUUACAUACUGUGAAGGAUAUAAACAAUAAAAUUGUUACAGAACCUGGUCUGGGUCCUGAUGGAAGAACCAAGUGGCACUCGGAAACUUUGGAGGAUCACAGGUUUAUUUAACACCUGCGGGCUCAGAGGAGAAUGAUCUCCAAAGGUCUGAGCCCCGAGCACAGACGAAGAGGAUAAUUUAUAUGCUUCUCUUUUCCAAUACUUGGUACUUCUGGCACGCACAGGAAGCAGGGCAGAAAGAAGAACCUGGAAGAGCCCGGGGGCAGGAGCUAGGACUCUUUUGCUGACUCAGUUGGCCAUCGUAGAACAUAGAUUUUUCCCUUAUCAAAAUGAAUAAAAAUUUCCUCUUGCCAAUUUAAAA